rnacentral:rRNA from 1 species
UACCAGCUCUCCGAGUGGUAGGGAUGAUUAUUGGGCUUAAAGCGUCCGUAGCCGGCUUAGCAAGUCUCCUGUUAAAUUCAGCGACCUAAUCGUUGAGCCGCGGGAGAUACUACUAGGCUAGGAGGCGGGAGAGGUCAGCGGUACUUCCGGGGUAGGGGUGAAAUCCUAUAAUCCCGGGAGGACCACCAGUGGCGAAGGCUGUUGACUAGAACGCGCUCGACGGUGAGGGACGAAAGCUGGGGGAGCGAACCGGAUUAGAUACCCGGGUAGUCCCAGCUGUAAACGAUGCGAGCUAGGUGUUGGGGUGGCUACGUGCCACUUCAGUGCCGCAGGGAAGCCAUUAAGCUCGCCGCCUGGGGAGUACGGCCGCAAGGCUGAAACUUAAGGAAUUGGCGGGGAGCACCACAAGGCGUGAAGCUUGCGGUUC